rnacentral:lncRNA from 1 species
CUCCUGACCUCAGGUGAUCUGCUCACCUCUGCCUCCCAAAGUGCUGGGAUUACAGGCAUGAGUCACCACACCCAAAGAUCUGAGCUAAUAAUGCAUCCGGUUCCCCAUAUCAAAGGUGCUGGCAACACUCUAGCCUUUAAUUAAUUACCCUAAACCUAAGUGGGAUAGUUAUUUGGCAAUACAUCCAUUUUUUUGCCAACUGAAGCAGUCCAGAGCUGUGAUGAUACCCCACAAAAUACUAGGUUUGUAGGUUUCCCCCACCCUCCCAUCUUCCUACCCUACAUGCCCUACAAAAUUCCUGCCAAUGAAUUUCAUAGUGAGUAUGUAUGUUGUCAUUUUGGGAUGGUCCCAUAAGAGGCCCAUCUGGUGAACUCAUCCAACCAGACGGUUUUGUUACUGGUGUCAACCUUGAGUUAUGAUUCAGAAUCUUGAGUAUACACUCAGAUUCGAAAUCCCUACGUAGUAAGGUGUAGGACAAAACAUCUGUGCCUUUGAGAUGCAGGUGCUUGGACUGGUCCUCUUACUAGCUGUGUGAUUUGACAAGUCACUUCACAUUUAACCACUCUGUAGGCAUGAGUUUCCUCAUCUGAAAAAAAAAAAAGGCAAACUAGUAAAAGCUGACCCCUGCAAAGUAACUGGCAGAUAGAGGGCAUCCAAUAACAUUCCAGAUAGCCUCCCUUCUUUUCAUAGAAUGCUAGAAGCUACAGGUCCUUAGAAGUCAAGCAGAUUCAUCUCUCAUUUGUAUAGAUGAGGAAAUCAAGGCCCUGGGAGGUGGUCUUUCAGGCAAACAGUGGCAGCUCUUGAGAUGUGGGCUCUGGUACUUUAUUCAACGUUGGUUUUUUUCACAUGAGCCAGCCCAUGAGAGAUUCUGAGAGCAGGUGGGGACAGUAAAAAGGCAGUCCCAUAAUUUCUAGGAGCCUCAAACUGUAGGCCAAAGGGCUAGGUAAACAGAUCUGCCUUGUUUUAAGUUUGAUACAGGCCUUACGGCUCUCUGUUGUUUCUCAUCCUCUACAACUAACACAUCUUGGUUGGUCGCUGGGCCUAUGUAUACAUUCAAGUUUGGUUUAUCCAGACUAACUGGCUGAGCUGCCCUGCCAAUAGUUUGGAUUAUUGAUCAACCAAAGGUGAGGGACACACACCCCAGCUUUAUACAACUCACACACAUGCACACACAAAAGCAUCCCCAAGAUCACAUCCUAAGCUUGGUUCUUGGUCUGCAGGGGAAUAAUUGGCCCUUUUAAAUUUCAGCUUGCAAAGUAAUAGCUUUACCCCACUGCAUUCUUAUAGAAUAGAGACUCAGAAAACCACUGACAUGUACAGAAAGGCUGAGAACCCCUGAUUCCCAGAACUACUCUUCAAGGUUGAUUUCAGUAGCCUGUUUCACGUUAGGAAAGAACGUAUGCUUUCAUAGGAACCAGAGUUCUAGAUCCUGAAAGUGAAACUUCAUGCUCCAUAUAGCAUAACUGUUUCCUUCCCUUUCUCUUGGGAACAACACAAUUCUAUUAUGGUUACAUUUUAAAAACAAAUUAUGGAUUACUGACUAAUAUCAAAUGCUCAUUUGUGAACUAAAACUCACCUAAAAGCCAUUUCUUUUGUUAGCCGCUGCGCGUUUAAGGGAAAGUAAAGGGGUGAGAAAAUGGCUCCCCAGAAAUCCUAUGGGGCAUCCCCCACCCCUGCAAUAUAUCUCAAGCAUCAAAUAGCCACUCUAUGUUAACUACCACCAAACCUUUUCCAACCACUAGGUUGUCACCUUUUUCACAACCCUAAGACAACUAUGCAAAUACUUUAUCUAAAUUUUGAGAAACUGGGCUGAGUGAAUUAGUAAGCACUAUAUGAGGAGGGGUUAACAGCAAUUUAUUAAGGUUGCCUGAAACACCCUAGUCCAAACACCGAUUCAAACUCUUAUUUAAAUAUGCUAUUUUAAACCUGAUUUGCAGCAGGGCAGCAGACCAAAUUAAAGCACUCAUUUUACUGACCUGAGUCCCAAGCCUGAAUUCUCUGGUGGAUUAUUUUUAAUUUAAAAAUGAGCUCUUGUCCUAUAAAAUAAGCAGCACCAAGGAGAAAUGCAAGACAGCUUAAAUGGCCCAAGAGGCAGCGCAAGUUACUUUUACAAAAAAACUGGAAAGUAUUAGUGACAUUAUCUCCACUUCUAAUUUCAGAAAAUGACUUUACAGUAUACUUCUAGGUUAUAACGUAGACAAGUAUGUCUGUGAAACUGCUCCUGAAGGUUUCCACGUAAUAGCUGCAGGUAAACAAAUGUUAUAAUAUGACCACACAAUGCAAUACUAUGCAGCCAUUUAAAAUACAAUGAAGUCGACUAGGUUUCAGGCAUAGAGAAAUAUGUGUGAUAAUAUGAAUUUAAGAACAGCAAGUUGCAGAUGCCAUUUUUGGAGAAAAACUUACAUCUAUGUGUGGGUAUUAAAAAACCUCCCUGACAUACACUGACAUCUAUGAUUCUAUAUUUAGCUGCGAGGGUGUAUGUAUAUAUAGUUUAAAAAGAUACACACUAAACCUAACAAUGGUGGGAAAGGAGGGGAGAGAUCUUGGUCUUUCAUUUUACUUCUUGUCUUGGUGGCUUGCAUUUUUCGCAAGGGCAUUGAAAACUUUUUACAUUAAAUAAAAAAUGAAGUGAUGAGCUUUAAACAACUGUAACAACAGCUCUUGAGUGCCCUUGUUAAUUUCUUGAUUGACUGUUUUCACCCCACUUAGUACAACAACGCAGCCACAACUCCUCAGUCCUUCCCAGUCUUUGGAAGGCUAGGAGAGAAAAAGGCGUGGCUUGCAGGGUUUUCUUCUAGCUAGAGGAAAACAGGCUGUAGGCGCCCUUUUUUUAGCUACAAUCCCGAGAGCUCCCACGUGUCAGGGGUGCGCAGACGGUAGGCGCGGGGUGCAGGACUCCAAUUAUCAAUUCAGCCGAGCCCAGCGCUGGUAAAGGGGGCGUUUAGCUCGCCCGUUUCCUCCCUCCUCAAUCCCCACACAGUCAGUUUCUCGGUCCAAGUUUUACUGGUGCGGCCCAGCCCUACCGAGAGUACCCGAAUACACGUCUGCAGAGGACGCGGGCAUUGGGCCGGGUGAGCUACGAUGUUCUAACGAUCAGCAAAUGCCAAUUAAUCUGUUAAUUGUCUAUUAACAAUUAUUACUCGAGAUGCCGCCCGCCUCUCCGGGCCUGCGAGUGGGCUGGCGGAUACCGGAGUCCCUGAGGUCACCGGCGGAGAUGAUAAUUUGAUGUGAUAGAAGAUGUGCGAAAAUGAAAUCAUCAUUUAGUUUGGAAACAACCUCAGUGUCCAUCAAUAAGAAAAAGAACUAUGGAAAGCCAUCCUAUAAAACCCUCUGCAAUUUAGAAAAGUUCUCCAAGACAAUUUGUUACAUGAAAAAAGCACACUGUGGCUGGGCACAGU